GUCUUUUUGAGUAUAAUUUAAAGUCUGGCCUGCCCACUGAUUUAUUGAAUGGCCGCAGUAUUUUGACUGUGCAAAGGUAGCAUAAUCAUUAGUUUUUUAAUUAAGAACUGGAAUGAAAGGUUGAACGAGAAAAUAACUGUCUCUUUAUAAAUUAUUUAGAAUUUUAUUUUUAAGUUAAAAAGCUUAAAUAGGAUUAAAAGACGAGAAGACCCUAUAGAGUUUAAUAUAAUAGUAAAAAAUUUCUUAAUUUGAAUUUUUAAAUUAUUCAUUAUUAUUAUAUUUAAUUGGGGUGAUUGAAAAAUUUAUUAAACUUUUUUUUUAUGAAAACAUUUAUUUAUGAUUAAUUGAUCCAUUAUUAGUGAUUAUAAGAUUAAAUUACCUUAGGGAUAACAGCGUUAUUUCUUUUAAGAGUUCAAAUCGAUAAAGAAGUUUGCGACCUCGAUGUUGGAUUAAAAUUAAAUUUUGGUGUAGAAGCUAAAAGAUUAGGUCUGUUCGACCUUUAAAAUUUUACA
rnacentral:rRNA from 1 species